rnacentral:rRNA from 1 species
UACGUAGGUGGCAAGCGUUGUCCGGAUUUACUGGGCGUAAAGGGCGUGCAGGCGGCUUGUUAAGUUCAGGGUGAAAGCUCCCGGCUCAACUGGGAGAGGUCCUUGGAUACUGGCAGACUUGAGGAGGGUAGAGGAGAGUGGAAUUCCCGGUGUAGUGGUGAUAUGCGUAGAUAUCGGGAGGAACACCAGUGGCGAAGGCGGCUCUCUGGGCCGUACCUGACGCUGAGACGCGAAAGCGUGGGGAGCGAACCGG